UACGUAGGGGGCAAGCGUUGUCCGGAAUUAUUGGGCGUAAAGAGCGUGUAGGCGGCCAGAUAAGUCCGCUGUGAAAUCUCGAGGCUCAACUUCGAGCUGUCGGUGGAAACUAUCUGGCUAGAGUCCGGAAGAGGAGAAUGGAAUUCCUGGUGUAGCGGUGAAAUGCGCAGAUAUCAGGAGGAACACCAAUAGCGAAGGCAGCUCGCUGGGACGUUACUGACACUGAGGCGCGAAAGCGUGGGGAGCGAACAGG
rnacentral:rRNA from 1 species